UGUAGCUUGGUGGUAGAGCACUUGCCUAGCAUGCAUGAGGCCCUGGGUUCAAUCCCCAGUA
rnacentral:tRNA from 1 species